UAUCACUUACAGAUGGGCCCGCGGCGCAUUAGCUAGUUGGUGAGGUAACGGCUCACCAAGGCGACGAUGCGUAGCCGACCUGAGAGGGUGAUCGGCCACACUGGGACUGAGACACGGCCCAGACUCCUACGGGAGGCAGCAGUAGGGAAUCUUCCGCAAUGGACGAAAGUCUGACGGAGCAACGCCGCGUGAACGAUGAAGGUCUUCGGAUCGUAAAGUUCUGUUGUUAGGGAAGAACAAGUACCGUGCGAAUAGAGCGGUACCUUGACGGUACCUAACGAGGAAGCCCCGGCUAACUACGUGCCAGCAGCCGCGGUAAUACGUAGGGGGCAAGCGUUGUCCGGAAUUAUUGGGCGUAAAGCGCGCGCAGGCGGUUCCUUAAGUCUGAUGUGAAAGCCCACGGCUCAACCGUGGAGGGUCAUUGGAAACUGGGGAACUUGAGGACAGAAGAGGAGAGUGGAAUUCCACGUGUAGCGGUGAAAUGCGUAGAUAUGUGGAGGAACACCAGUGGCGAA
rnacentral:rRNA from 1 species